UUGCUCCUGAUUGAUAAACAUUUGAGUGAGUGGCGGACGGGUGAGUAACACGUGGGUAACCUGCCCUAAAGUGGGGGAUAACAUUUGGAAACAGAUGCUAAUACCGCAUAAAACCUAACACCGCAUGGUGUAGGGUUGAAAGAUGGUUUCGGCUAUCACUUUAGGAUGGACCCGCGGUGCAUUAGUUAGUUGGUGAGGUAAAGGCUCACCAAGACCGUGAUGCAUAGCCGACCUGAGAGGGUAAUCGGCCACACUGGGACUGAGACACGGCCCAGACUCCUACGGGAGGCAGCAGUAGGGAAUCUUCCACAAUGGACGAAAGUCUGAUGGAGCAACGCCGCGUGAGUGAAGAAGGUUUUCGGAUCGUAAAACUCUGUUGUUGGAGAAGAAUGUAUCUGAUAGUAACUGAUCAGGUAGUGACGGUAUCCAACCAGAAAGCCACGGCUAACUACGUGCCAGCAGCCGCGGUAAUACGUAGGUGGCAAGCGUUGUCCGGAUUUAUUGGGCGUAAAGCGAGCGCAGGCGGUUUCUUAAGUCUG
rnacentral:rRNA from 1 species